rnacentral:rRNA from 1 species
AGUGAACGCUGGCGGUAGGCCUAACACAUGCAAGUCGAACGGCAGCACAGUAAGAGCUUGCUCUUACGGGUGGCGAGUGGCGGACGGGUGAGGAAUACAUCGGAAUCUACUUUUUCGUGGGGGAUAACGUAGGGAAACUUACGCUAAUACCGCAUACGACCUACGGGUGAAAGCAGGGGAUCUUCGGACCUUGCGCGAUUGAAUGAGCCGAUGUCGGAUUAGCUAGUUGGCGGGGUAAAGGCCCACCAAGGCGACGAUCCGUAGCUGGUCUGAGAGGAUGAUCAGCCACACCGGAACUGAGACACGGUCCAGACUCCUACGGGAGGCAGCAGUGGGGAAUAUUGGACAAUGGGCGCAAGCCUGAUCCAGCCAUACCGCGUGGGUGAAGAAGGCCUUCGGGUUGUAAAGCCCCUUUGUUGGGAAAGAAAAGCAGCAGGUUAAUACCCCGCUGUUCUGACGGUACCCAAAGAAUAAGCACCGGCUAACUUCGUG